UACGGGGGGGGGCAAGCGUUGUUCGGAAUUACUGGGCGUAAAGGGCUCGUAGGCGGCCAACUAAGUCAUACGUGAAAUCCCUCGGCUUAACCGGGGAACUGCGUCUGAUACUGGGUGGCUUGAGUCUGGUAGGGGGGACCUGGAAUUCCUGGUGUAGCGGUGGAAUGCGCAGAUAUCAGGAGGAACACCGGUGGCGAAGGCGGGGUCCUGGGCCAGUACUGACGCUGAUGCGCGAAAGCCAGGGGAGCGAACGGG
rnacentral:rRNA from 1 species